UGAACGCUGGCGGCGUGCCUACUACAUGCACGUCGAGCGAACAGAUGCGGAGCUUGCUCCUCUGACGUUAGCGGCGGACGGGUGAGUAACACGUGGAUAACCUACCUAUAAGACUGGGAUAACUUCGGGAAACCGGAGCUAAUACCGGAUAAUAUAUUGAACCGCAUGGUUCAAUAGUGAAAGACGGUUUUGCUGUCACUUAUAGAGGGAUCCGCGCCGCAUUAGCUAGUUGGUAAGGUAACGGCUUACCAAGGCAACGAUGCGUAGCCGACCUGAGAGGGUGAUCGGCCACACUGGAACUGAGACACGGUCCAGACUCCUACGGGAGGCAGCAGUAGGGAAUCUUCCGCAAUGGGCGAAAGCUUGACGGAGCAACGCCGCGUGAGUGAUGAAGGUCUUCGGAUCGUAAAACUCUGUUAUUAGGGAAGAACAAAUGUGUAAGUAACUAUGCACGUCUUGACGGUACCUAAUCAGAAAGCCACGGCUAACUACGUG
rnacentral:rRNA from 1 species